rnacentral:rRNA from 1 species
AUGUGUCAUCUACUUCUGGUGCGUCAUCGUCCUCAUCGCAGACGACUUAUGGUCUUCGGGCUCGGCCUCAUCCUCCCCCUGACCGCUAUUCUCCUAGUCAAUAUGGUCUUUCGGCUGUACUUGAGCCUACCUCUUAUCGCGAUGUUUGUUAUUCAUCCUGAAUGGCAAUUUGCAAUGGCAGAGGAGCUUGCUGCUCUUGAGCGCACCGGCACAUGGGAUCUUGUUUCUCUUCCUCCCGGUGUUCGUCCCAUCACUUGUAAGUGGAUCUGCAAGGUUAAGACUCGCUCCGAUGGUUCUCUUGAGCGUUACAAAGCUCGUCUUGUGGCUCGUGGCUUUCAGCAGGAGCAUGGUCGUGAUUACGAUGAGACAUUUUGA